rnacentral:rRNA from 1 species
CGUAUAUUAAAGUUGUUGCAGUUAAAAAGCUCGUAGUUGGAUUUGUGAAUGGGUUGAGGGAUGCGUCCUCAUGGUCGCGAUCCUUUCGGCUUGUUCAUCUUUGGUUGGAAUCUGCGUGGCAUUAAGUUGUCGUGCAGGGGAUGGCCAUCGUUUACUGUGAAAAAAUUAGAGUGUUCAAAGCAGGCUUAUGCCGUUGAAUAUAUUAGCAUGGAAUAAUGAGAUAGGACCUUGGUACUAUUUUGUUGGUUUGCGCACCGAGGUAAUGAUUAAUAGGGACAGUUGGGGG